ensembl:rRNA 5S_rRNA 5S ribosomal RNA
UACCACAGCCAUAUCACCCUGCAGCUCAAGAGCAGUCCCGCACUGAAGCUGAGCAGGGCUGAGGCUGGUCAGUGUCUGGAUGGGAGAGCACAUGGGAACACUAGGCUGCUGUUGGAA